UACGUAGGGGGCUAGCGUUGUCCGGAAUCAUUGGGCGUAAAGAGCGUGUAGGCGGCCCGGUAAGUCCGCUGUGAAAGUCGGGGGCUCAACCCUCGAAUGCCGGUGGAUACUGUCGGGCUAGAGUGCGGAAGAGGCGAGUGGAAUUCCCGGUGUAGUGGUGAAAUGCGUAGAGAUCCGGAGGAACCCCAGAGGCGAAGGCGGCGCCCUGGCUCGCAACUGACGCUCAGACACGACAGCAUGGGGAGCGAACGGG
rnacentral:rRNA from 1 species